rnacentral:rRNA from 1 species
CGGUGGAGCAUGUGGUUUAAUUCGAAGCAACGCGAAGAACCUUACCAGGUCUUGACAUCCGAUGCUAUUCUAGAGAUAGAAAGUUACUUCGGUACAUCGGUGACAGGUGGUGCAUGGUUGUCGUCAGCUCGUGUCGUGAGAUGUUGGGUUAAGUCCCGCAACGAGCGCAACCCUUGUCUUUAAUUGCCAUCAUUCAGUUGGGCACUUUAAAGAGACUGCCGGUGUUAAACCGGAGGAAGGUGGGGAUGACGUCAAGUCCUCAUGGCCUUUAUGCCCAGGGCUACACACGUGCUACAAUGGGUGGUACAAAGAGAUGCAAUCUCGCAAGAGCAAGCAAACCUCAAAAAGCCAUCCUCAGUUCGGAUUGGAGUCUGCAACUCGACUCCAUGAAGUCGGAAUCGCUAGUAAUCGCGGAUCAGCACGCCGCGGUGAAUACGUUCCCGGGCCUU